rnacentral:lncRNA from 1 species
CCCUCCUAACUACAUUAUGUACUUUAAAAUUUACUUUCACACAGAUGAUGUUUAAAAUAAGCUUUUAAUUCAACUUUUUGUGGCACCAUUGUAAAUUACCUAACUUUACUUAGAGCAAAGCUUUUGCUCAAUACUUAGCAUUUACAUAGCACAUUUUAUUUAGAAUGUGCUUUACAAAUAAUUUAUCAAUCACACAUUUUUAGUAAAAUGGCAAGGAACAUGUCAAUAGGCUUAUUUUAAAGAAGUUGAAAUAACUAUAGAUUCACAU